CUGUUGCUAGUGUGCUGUCCUCAUCGCCUCCCUACUGGAUAACAUCAUAAUACAACAUGGUUAUUGUGGGGUUUGUAGGGCUUCGGCCAGAUUUGCCAACUGCCACUAGGAGACCACACUACCCCACAUGCAAUUUCCCAUUGAUGCUCCUAACUCACAAAUCUCUCCUGCUUUUUCCCUAUUUAUAUAGGGCAUGACUGCAUUCAUGGCAAGAGACAUUCAUACUUUAAGAAACUUAUCAAGGCUCUUGCAAAAAACACACUAGACAAAACCCUCUUUAAAGUUCUAGUUUCGGUAUAGCCCAAAGAAGGAACUUCUUGUUUGAGGAGGCAUGGAGGGAGCCCAAGUAGCUGUUGAGCUAGAAGAUGAUCUGUUUUUUGCUGACUUAAGCAAGCAAAUCUCUCUGCUAAUCAUGGAUGACGAUGAGGAUCCAGUUGCAAAGUGCCCUUCUGUUUCUUUCCAGGCUUUUUCAAGAGCAAAUUAUCCAGUAGCACCAUCCCCAUUUCUUCAUGGACAAAACUGCAGAAAAGAAAGCAAAGGCACAGGAGUUUUUAUUCCGCAGUCAUCACAGCCAAGAAGGAAGCAUAAGCAAGGAAGAUUCAGUUCAUUCAACAGAAAGUCUAACAGGCAACCUACAUGAUAACUCAACAUUAAUGGUUUCUCUGGCAGUUUGCAACGAUUCUUUUUACUCCAGGAGAAAGGCAGGGAUACAUCUUUGUCAAGUGUAUAAUUUUUAAAAAGAAUUACUACUCAUUCUCCUUUUGUCAAAAGCUGCUGAGGCAGGGUAGGCUGAAUGAUUUAUGAUCUAUAUAUCAGAUAAUAUGCACAUGAAUAACAAUAAUUGAUCCUGCCCCUUAGUUAGGGGUCUUGAGGAGGUUAACUAAAGGGUUGUGCCUCCCUAUAUCAUGGAAAUGUAUGGUGGUUUAUAUGUAAUAAGAGUGAUUUCAGAAAAUUUUGGUUUGUUCA